rnacentral:rRNA from 1 species
ACGAACCGUCCAAACGUUAUUCGGAAUUACUGGGCUUAAAGGGUGCGUAGGCGGCGCGGUCAGUCGGAUGUGAAAUCGUACAGCUCAACUGUACAACGGCGUCCGAUACUUCCGCGCUUGAGGAAGGCAGAGGUGAGCGGAACUCAGGGUGGAGCGGUGAAAUGCGUUGAUAUCCUGGGGAACACCGGUGGCGAAGGCGGCUCACUGGGCCUUUUCUGACGCUGAGGCACGAAAGCUAGGGUAGCGAACAGG